AUUGAACGCUGGCGGCAUGCCUUACACAUGCAAGUCGAACGGCAGCACGGGAGCUUGCUCCUGGUGGCGAGUGGCGAACGGGUGAGUAAUACAUCGGAACGUACCCUGAAGUGGGGGAUAACGUAGCGAAAGUUACGCUAAUACCGCAUAUUCUGUGAGCAGGAAAGAGGGGGAUCGCAAGACCUCUUGCUUUUAGGAGCGGCCGAUGUCGGAUUAGCUAGUUGGUGAGGUAAAGGCUCACCAAGGCGACGAUCCGUAGCGGGUCUGAGAGGAUGAUCCGCACACUGGGACUGAGACACGGCCCAGACUCCUACGGGAGGCAGCAGUGGGAAUUUUGGACAAUGGGCGCAAGCCUGAUCCAGCCAUGCCGCGUGAGUGAAGAAGGCCUUC
rnacentral:rRNA from 1 species